rnacentral:lncRNA from 7 species
UUCAGUGCUUUGGGGUUGGGUGCUUUGGGGUUGGGUGCUUUGGGGUUGGGUGCUUUGGGGUUCAGUGCUUUUGGGUUCGGUUCUUUGGGGUUGGGUGCUUUGGGGUUGGGUGCUUUGGGGUUGGCUGCAUCCCGCCCGGUGCGUUGGAGCAGCGCGACGCUGCAAUAGAGGCGGCGUUGCAGUGCAGUGCUGACACCGCUUUCCCUCUGCGCCCCAACCUCCAGGAGGAGCCCCCCCAGCAUGAGGAGCCCACGGCGCCUCUCCGUGCAGCAGCCCGGUGAGCCCUCCCUUGCACACUCCCUUGCACACUCCCUUGCACACUCAGUGCCAUGCUCUGUUGCACACUCAGUGCCACAUCCUUGCACACUGCAUGGCACGCUUUGUUGCACGCUCCAUGGCGCAUCCUUGCCCUCUCCAUGGAUUGGUUGGGUUGGAAGGACCCCAUCUAUCAUAGAGCUGUAGGAUGGGUUGGGGGGACCCCAUCUAUCAUAUUGCUGUAGGAUGGGGUGGGACGGACCCUAUAGAUCAUAGAGCUGUAGGAUGGGUUGGGAGGGACCCUAUGGAUCAUAGAGCUGUAGGAUGGUUGGGUUGGGAGGGACCCUUAUAGAUCAUAGAGCUGUAGGAUGGGUUGGGAGGAACCCUAUAGCCACACACAUAAUGCUGACGGUUGAGGUCAGGCGGGGUUUUGCUGCGGGGUUGCAGGCAGCCGUGGGCACAGCGCUGCUAUUUCGAGCUGCAGCCGUAUGCAAACAGCCCGGAGCUGCAAAGGGAUGAGCUGUGCUGCCCCCCUCCCCCCAACCCCGGGGGUCCCCCAAACCCGAAUUCCUAUGGGGGAAGGUGGUAGAGGCUCAACCCCAUAUAGCGGAGGUUGUUGGGGUCGCAUCGGUUGCGGGGCUCGGUCCCAUUCGCUGCGCCCGGCGUCGAGGUGUUGGGGGGCAGGAGGGGUGGGGAGGGGGAUGGGAUUGUGGGGUGGGGUCGUGGGGUGGGAUAUGGGAUCAUGAAAGUGGGAUAUGGGGGAUGGGAUAUGGGGGAUGGGAUAUGGGGGAUGGGAUAUGGGGGUGGGAUCGUGGGGGUGAAAUGGUGGGGAUGGGAUCGUGGGGAUGGGAUCCUUGGGGAUGGGAUAUGGGGGAUGGGAUAUGGGGGAUGGGAUAUGCGGGUGGGAUUGUGGGGUGAGAUGGUGGGGAUGGGAUCGUGGGGAUGGGGUCAUGGGGGGAUAUGGGGAUGGGAUAUGGGGGAUGGGAUAUGGGGGUGGGGUCAUAGGGGGGGGAUAUGGGGAGGGAUCGUGGCGGUGGGGUCAUGGGGAUGGGAUAUGGGGGAUGGGAUCGUAGGGAUGGGAUCUGGGGGUGGGAUCCUUGGGGUGGGAACGUGGGGAUGGGAUCCAGUGGGGGUCUUGGGAUGGGAUCAUUGGGGUGGGAUUGGGGGGGUGGGGUCAUAGGGGAUGGGAUAUGGGGGAUGGGAUAUGAGGGAUGGGAUCAUGAAGGUGGGAUAUUGGUGAUGGGAUCGCGCGGAUGGGAUAUGGGGGUGGGGUCUGGAUGGAACGUGAGGGUCUUGGGAUGGGAUCAUAUGGGGUGGGAUUGUGGGGGUGGGGUCAUGGGGAUGGGAUAUAUGGGGGACUGGGAUAUGGGGGAUGGGAUAUGGAGGUGGGGUCAUAGGGGGUGCGGGAUAUGUA